rnacentral:ncRNA from 1 species
UCAGCGAUGGCGCAAUAUGGACUGGGCAGAAGUCAGCAGAAGCCAUAGUAGUUGUCCUUGGCAACGAAGGGC